rnacentral:rRNA from 1 species
UACGUAGGGGGCAAGCGUUAUCCGGAUUUACUGGGUGUAAAGGGAGCGUAGACGGCAGGGCAAGUCUGGAGUGAAAGGCAGGGGCCCAACCCCUGGACUGCUCUGGAAACUGUCCGGCUGGAGUGCAGGAGAGGUAAGUGGAAUUCCUAGUGUAGCGGUGAAAUGCGUAGAUAUUAGGAGGAACACCAGUGGCGAAGGCGGCCUGCUGGACGACAACUGACGGUGAGGCGCGAAAGCGUGGGGAGCAAACAGG